AAAUUCAUGACGAACUUUAAUAACUCUUUUCCCCAGCCACAGUGACCUACAGCCAACCUUCAGCCACCUUGCUCCAGGGCUCUGGUGAACUUGUGUGCCUGGUCUUCGGCUUCAGCCCUGCAUCUAUUAGCAUCACUUGGUUUUCUGGUAACACCAAGGAACUGUUGGACUACAACACUAGUGAACCCAUCAGAGGCCCAAAUGGAAAGUUCAGCAUCCAAAGCCACCUUCGUCUGUCCCAUGGCAACUGGUUCCCUGGGGCAGUCCUCACCUGCAGGGUGACACAUGAGAACACCACCCAAUCCCUGAAUAUAUCUAAACCAGGCACGUUGGAGGGCUGUCAUUUCUUAGAUGAGAUUAUGCAUGCUGAUGUGAACCAAGACACAGAUGUGGAAAGCUGGUAUAUGACUUUCACUUUCCUCUUUUUUUUCCUCAUCUCCGUCAUCUAUGGUGUCUUGGCUACUGUGAUUAAGACUAAAUGAUGAUGACCCCAGGACAGAUCCCAUUUUAUGAUCCAAAUGUGGACUUUUUUUAAAUUAAAUCUUUACUUUUUUUUAACUUUACAAGUUUUGAAUAGAACUGUAAUUAAUGCAUUCUUUCUUUUUUAUAUUUCUACUACAUUUUAUGGAAUU